UCUAACCACCCUGAACAUGCCCGAUCUUAUCUGAUCUCAGAAGCUAAGCAGGGUCGGGCCUGAUUAGUACUUGGAUGGGAGGAAUAAUAGGAGGUCAGAGUUGGAA
rnacentral:rRNA from 1 species